rnacentral:lncRNA from 1 species
GUUUUAAUAGAGUUCAUUGAGAAUGAUUUUUCAACAAGCAAAGAGACAUUAAACAUGUAAAUGUAAGACUUUUAUUUUAGGAAAAUGGUUGACUAGCUGAGUAGGUAAACCCAUCCCAGCAUGGAAUCUCUGCAGUAAUAGAUUAAAAGUGAAAAUCUUUUGAAAAGUCAUGGUAAAGAUGAUAAAUUAAGAAAAACCAUCAGAGGGCAGAACUGAUAAGAAAACACAAAUCCAAAAUAGAUGAGGUUGAAGUCAGUGUUUGCUGUUUACCUGAACAGCAUCUGCCAGUAGUUGGUAACCUUGAGCCUGAAUUAUAAUGUUGCCUGCAUGCAUGGAGGCUGGAAAGAAAGUACUAAUAGUAUGAACUUGAGUUUCAUAGAAGGCUGGAUCGGAGAUAACCUCAAAAAUCUGAGACUGCUCUUCCCAGACAGCAACACCCUCAGUGACUGAACUUGAGGGAAAACACCCUUGCGGAGGAAAUGUUAAUACUUGUCUGUCUUCUUGCAAUAUUAAUUAUGCAUUUUUAUAUUUUAUCAUGCUUUGACAUCUUGGGGUCUUGCUGAUCUUGGAGAGACUGUCCCUUCCAAGGAUAGCUAAUUGCUAGAGAUAGCGAACAACUUGCCUAUGAGCAUACCUUUCAUAUGCAAGCCAAACAAUCCUGUCUCUACCUUCAGCCACCUCCUUUAUUAACUCUCACACACCAUACCAAUAUUCUCCCUGCUCUAAAUCACCAACCAGGUACUAGGUAACUAGAGACCACCACUAUAGCCCAAGUGGCUUUGCAUGGUGUGGCAUGCCCUAUCCUCUGGGGGACUGUGAGCAAUAAACUCUUCUUUCAAGGCAGUUAUCUCCAUGUCUGUCAUUUUAUCAUACCUGAUUAAAACAAAUCCCAGGUACAUAUUAAAACAUCUUGGCUUUGGGUAGAACAGAAUGUAAAAUUAAAAACAAAUACAAGAACAAUGAAAAUCCUUUAAACUCCUAACCAGAAGCCCUUACAUACAUAGGUAUGAGGCAAGAAUCACAUUGCCAUGUGACUUCAAAACCCAAGUCAAUAAUUAAGUUAAAGUGAUUCUGGAUUGGUGAUGGCCCCAUGAGCUUGGCAAAAGGAGACAAAUCUGCUAUGGGGGAAAGAACUUAAACAAUUUCCAGGCAAUUUUUAGAGUUCCAGUGAGUAUCAUCUCACAACAAAAUACCAUUAAAAACAUGAAGAAAUAAGUCAUAAACAAAGUUAGCAGAAAUCAAAUCAAAUUAAAUUCUCCUUUCCUCAGGGCCCAGUGGCUUGGAACUUCUGCUUAUGGUGGAGGUAGAGAAAACAAUUUCUCACAACCUUGUUCCUUUUCCAGGACUUAGUUCUCUGGUGCUGGGAGUGGGGGGAAGGAAGAAGGGUCAAAAAGCCGUUUCCAUAUGCAACUGCCCAUAGUUGAUUAGCUGAUGUUUAUUUUGUUCGUUGAAAUCGCUCUUCCAUUACUUAAGCAAACCCACCAUGAGGUAGAUUACUUAUCCUUUUCUGUUUUUUGCAGCCACACUUCUAUGGUAGGCAUUCAACUGCUGGUUUUCUAAAGGGUAGAUGUUUGUUGGUUCUGUGAAGGGUUCUAAGGAAGCCUUACCCUUUAUAGUUCCCUAGCUUGGGAGAGUCAGCUGAGGCUUAACCACUUAACCUGCUCAUUUCUGCUGUGGGAGGGGCAUUCUAUUACUUCGUGUUGAGAAUUUUCUCUUCUAGUAGCUCUCUUGAAGUGAAUUAAUUUAUCUUAUUGACAAACUAAUUUCUUUUUUUUUUUUUUUUUUUUU